AUUCGCACCUUCUGCUGAACCCUACUCGGUCGAACCACUGCCCCACUCACGAUGGGGAAAGGGCGACCACGCGCCGUCGAGAAGGGUGCCCUAGGGCACGCCCCCGGCGGCGGCGCCACCGCCUCCUCCGUCUCCACCUCUUCUUCCGGCGUCGUCGAGGCACCUGUCUUCUACCCCACCGAGGAGGAAUUCGUCGACCCCUUGGCCUUCAUCUACAAAAUCCGGCCCCAGGCCGAACCCUUCGGCAUCUGUCGUAUCGUCCCUCCUCGGUCCUGGAAUCCCCCGUUCGCGCUCGACCGCUCCGCCUUCACCUUCCCCACCAAGUCGCAGGACAUCCAUCUCCUCCAAGCUCGGCCUCCUUCUUGCGACCCCGACACAUUCCGCCUCGAGUACGGACGCUUCCUCGAGUCCCACCUCGGCAAACGGUCAACCCGUCGGGUCGUAUUCGAGGGCGAGGAUCUCGAUCUCUGCCGUCUUUUUAAUGCCGUUAAGCGCUAUGGUGGCUAUGAUAAGGUCUGCGCGGGUAAGCUCUGGGCUGACGUCGCACGCUUCAUUCGUCCGGCAUCUAAGAUUUCCGAGUGCGCUAAGCACGUCCUCUGUCAGAUCUAUCGUGAACACCUGUACGACUUCGAGGAAUACAACAGGCGAUUGAAUCGGGGAAUUAGGAAGAACAGGAGUUCUAAGCCGUCCAUGAUGCGGAAGACUUUAGCCCAGCAGGAGGCCCCUGGUCGGAAGAGAAGAAAGAGAGGUGUGGGUUGUGAUAGAUUGAAGGAGGUAGUCAAAAAAGAGGAAUUGGAUCAGAUCUGUGAGCAAUGCAAGAGUGGUUUGCAUGGCGAAGUCAUGCUUCUAUGUGAUCGGUGUGAUAAAGGCUGGCAUUUGUACUGUUUGUCCCCGCCUCUACAAAGCAUUCCCCCGGGUAAUUGGUACUGCUUGGAGUGUGUAAAUUCUGAUAAGGACAGCUUUGGUUUUGUUCCUGGGAAGCUGUACACAGUCGAUGCUUUCAGACUGAUAGAUGAUCGAAUGAAGAGGAAGUGGUUUGGGCAGACAAUUGUCAGUCGUGUUCAGAUGGAAAAACAAUUUUGGGAGAUCGUUGAAGGUAGAGGAGGGGAAUUAGAGGUCAUGUAUGGCAAUGAUUUGGAUACUUCACUAUAUGGGAGUGGAUUUCCUCGACCAAAUGACCCCAUUCCAUCAUCAGUAGAUCCAAGUAUCUGGAACCAAUAUAUAUCCAGCCCAUGGAACCUCAAUAACCUACCAAAGUUGCCAGGUUCUAUGCUUCGCUCUGUCCGUGAGAAUAUUGCUGGCGUUAUGGUUCCUUGGCUCUACAUUGGGAUGCUUUUUUCAUCCUUUUGUUGGCAUGUUGAAGAUCAUUGUUUUUACUCAAUUAAUUACCUUCAUUGGGGAGAACCAAAGUGUUGGUAUGGUGUACCUGGUAAUAAAGCAAAUGCUUUUGAAGAGGUAAUGCGUAAAGCUCUUCCAGAUCUCUUUGAGGCUCAACCAGAUUUACUUUUCCAGCUUGUCACGAUGCUUAAUCCCUCCAUCUUGCUAGAAAAUGGUGUGCAAGUUUAUGGUGUUUUGCAGGAGCCUGGAAACUUUGUCAUUACUUUCCCGAGAUCUUUUCAUGGCGGUUUCAAUUUUGGUUUAAAUUGUGCUGAGGCUGUCAAUUUUGCUCCUGCUGAUUGGCUGCCUCAUGGUGGCAUUGGAUCAGAAUUAUAUCGGUUGUAUCACAAGGCUGCUGUUUUAUCCCAUGAAGAACUUCUUUGUGUUGCCAUCAAGAAUGGUUGCGAUGCCAAAGCUUUUUCCUAUCUGAAGGAAGAAAUGCAGAGGGUAUUUGAUAGAGAAAAGAAAUGUAGGGAGGAACUAUGGGUCAAUGGCAUUGUCAGGUCAUUGCAGAUGCAUCCAAAGAAACAUCCCCAUUAUGUGGGUACUGAGGAGGACCCUACUUGCGUUAUUUGUCGACAGUAUUUGUAUCUAUCGGCUGUUUCAUGCAGCUGUAGGCCAUCUACCAUUGUCUGUCUGGAGCACUGGGAACAUCUUUGUGAAUGCAAACCCAACAAACUUCGUCUCCUUUAUCGUCAUACUCUUGCGGAGCUUGGUGACUUGAUUGAUAUGGUGUCUCCUAACUCUAAACUCUCAAAUGUGGAUGAGAUCUUACCGUUAUCGGAUGGUUUUUCUCAAGGAUGUAGAUCUUAUAAUGGCAGAUCAAGUGCCAUGACGAAGAAGGUGAAAGGCUGUGAAAUUUCCUAUUUACAACUUGCUAAAGAUUGGUUUUCUCAAUCCUGCCAUAUUUUGGAGAGUCCAUUUUCAGAUUCCACUUAUAAUAGUUCUCUAACUGAAGCUGAACAAUUUCUUUGGGCUGAUCAUGACAUGGAUCCUGUGCGUGAUAUGACAUUUAAGCUAAUUGAGGCUCAAAGAUGGGCACGUAAUUUAAAUAGUUGUCUGUUUAAAGUAGAGAGCUCGGAACAAUCUCCACAUAAUCAUUAUGAGAAAGUAACAUUAUCUGAGUUAGAGAAUCUGCUAAGCUUUCAAAUCCUGCCUUGCUGCCUGCCUGAUUUCCAUAAAUUGAAGGCAGUUGUAGGGGAUGCAGAGACUCUAGUUACUGAAAUACAACACGCCCUUUCAUCUUCCUCAACUAUUGGCACAUUACAAAUGCUAUACUCUAAGGCCACCAAUUUUCCAGUUAGUCUCCAAAUUGUUGAGAGAUUAUCCCUUGAAAUUUCAUCUGCAAAGAAUUGGUUGAAAAAUGCUCAUUUGUGCCUCAAGGAGAAAAGGCCUGAUGUUAUCAAUAUUGAUAUCCUAAACAAGAUAAAGUUGGAGAUGUUAGAGCUUCAUGUUAACUUUCCAGAAAUGGAUAUGCUUUCAAGAUUGUGUGAUGAGGUUGAAUCAUGGAGAAUCAGAUGUAAAGAUAUGUUGAGAGGUUACAUUAGAAUGAAGGAACUCAAAGAUUUCCUUGUGUCUACUGAUCAUCUGACGGUCAGCAUUCCAGAAUUGGAUCUGCUAAGGAAAUACAGCUCUGAUGCUCGAUCUUGGGUUUGCCAUCUCCAAGGUGUUCUGCAAAAUCUUGAUAAGCGAGAGGACUAUGGAAACAUUGUUAUAGAACUUUCAUGCAUUUUGAAGUCUGGCUACUUGUUGCAUGUGCAAGUUGAUGAGUUGCCUCUUGUUGUUGCUGAGCUAAAAAGGUCCAAGUGUAGAAAAAAUGCUUCAAAGGCACUUUCUACUCCUAUGCCUUUAGGUUUCCUUCAGCGUGUUUUAUAUGAAGCUUCUAAGUUAAAAAUUGAGAAUGAACAACUGUUUGUGAAUGUUUCUAAGAUGCUCACGGAAGCCAUUGCUUGGGAAGAAGGAGCUAAAGCUGCCCUUGAACAUGUAGCACACAUCUCUGUGUUUGAAAAGAUUUUAACGGAUUCUGAUGCAAUAUUAGUUGGUCUUCCAUCUCUUCCGAACAUCAGAGAUGCAGUGUCAAUGGCUAAGAUGUGGAUAAGUAGAUCUCUACUAUUUUUAAAACAAACUCCAAAUGCGAAUACAUCACAACCUUUGCUUAGAGUUGAUGAUUUGAAGGAUUUGGUUGCUCAAACUAAACAUUUGAAAGUCACUAUGGUUGCUACUGACAAACUUCAGAGUAUUGUUGCAGAAGUUGAAGGAUGGGAGCAAGAUAGUUGUUGUUUAUUAGAAAAUGUCAAAUCCCUGUUUGACACAUGCCAUUCUAGUUCAACUAUUGACAAUCACCUUUCGACAAAGAUCGAGGAACUACUCAGAAAAAUUGAAUCUUCCAUAGAAGUUGGGGACCACUUGUGUUAUAAUUUUAAGGACUUACCUAAUCUGAAAGUUGCAGCUGUGUCUUUGCGAUGGUGCUUGACAGCAAUCUCUUUCUGCUAUAGGAUUCCAUUGCUAAAGGAUGUUGAUAGAUUACUUGAUGAAGCAAACCAUCUUCCUGUAAUCUUCUUGGAUAGCCAUCUUGUGCAACUGUUGAAUGUGGGAGUUAACUGGCUUAGGAAGGCACUUUGCACACUCCCAGAACUUAACAGCACUAAAAGGUGCAAGUUGAAGGAUGUUGAACUUGUUUUAGAUGAAAUUCAGGAAGUUAUUGUUCCAUAUCCAAUGAUGGUUACUCAGAUUCAAAAUGCCAUCCGAAAGCAUGAGUCCUGGGUGGGCCAAGUUCAUGCUUAUUUUGCACUUCCAAAAGGACAGCCAUGGCCUUCAUUAUUGAAGCUGAAAAAGCAUGGUGAAGCUGCUGCUUUUAUGUGUUCUGAGCUUGAUAAAGUAGCUUCUGAAGUAGGAAAAGUUGAGAAUUGGUUGUCCCAGUGCCAUGCUAUUUUGGAGCCAGUAUUUGGUAACUUGGGCUCCUUAACUUCCAGGCUAGUGCAAAUCAAAGAUUCACUUGAUAGGGCUUUGCGUAUAUAUCAUGAUUCAAAGGGACAAGGAGCCAGAGGGUUCUGUGUCUGCUGCCCCAAUUAUGGAGGGAAUGAAGAAGUCUAUACUUGCCUCAUAUGCAAUGAUCAGUACCAUUUUUCAUGUGUUGGACCACCACUUGCUAAUGCUUCUAUGACAAACGAGUAUGCAUGUCCGUUGUGUGUUUAUGUUGAAAAUGGAGCUCUACCAAGAAAUGAGAGCCAAUUGUUGUUUUCCAAAGGAAAUCGACCUGAAGUCAAAUCGUUUUUUGAAUUGGUUUCAGCUGCUUCAGAUAUAUUUGCUAGGAUUGAAGAAUUGAAUUUGGUGGAAAGAAUUGUCGAACGGGCAUGCGAGUGCAAGUCCUUUUUGUCUGAAAUAGUGAAAUCUAUUACUUCUCACUAUGAAAACGAUCUCAGCUCUAUCUCUGAGAAUAUUCUGAUUGCUCUGAAGGCAAUAACUGUGACUGGGAUACAUGAUCCCCAAGGUUGCUGCAAUCUUGAGUCAGUAUUGACAAGAUAUUCUUGGAAAGUAAGAGUCCGGAAGCUUUUAGCAGGAUCAAAGAAACCUGUCCUUUCACAACUUCAGAGGGUUAUGAAAGAGGGUACAGCUAUGGGCAUAACAUCUGAGGAUCACCUCAUGAAGGAAAUUACAGAUAUGAAACAGAUAAGCCUGCAGUGGGUAGAUAUUGCCAAAAAGGUGGCUUCGGAUUCAGGGAAACUUGCACUUAGUGAGGUCUACAAGCUUAUAAUUCAAGGUGAAGAUUUGCCACUUCAUUUUGAAAAGGAAUUGAAGUUAUUGCGAGAAAGAACUUUGCUUUAUUGCAUCUGUCGGAUGCCUAAUGAUCAGAGAGCAAUGAUUGCAUGUGACCAAUGUGAUGAGUGGUACCAUUUUGAAUGCGUUAACUUGCAUGAACCUCCUCCUAAGACCUUUUACUGUCCUGCAUGUCAACCAACUAAUGGAGUAGCUGUAUCUCUUCCGUAUGUGAUAUGCAGUGAAGAGAGAUCAAACAAUGAAGCGGGCCCUAACACACCUGCCUGUCAUAGGGAAUCUAAACAUAUAGGUUCAAGAAUUAAUUAUGGACACUCACAGGAUGCGGUUGAGUUACUUGAUGUUUUAAGAUCUCAUAAUGGUAUUGAUCAGCUAUGGAGAGAAAAUAGAAGGCCUUUCCACAGAACCACUAGGAGACGUGGUAAGAUAGAAUAUCUUGAUAAUUUGAUGCUCACUUUUGAAUUAACAGUGCAACUUUCUGUCCUUUCUGUUCAUUCUUAUGGGUGAUGGUUUAAAAGCAAAAAACAAAAGGUUGUGGCAUCUCUCUCAUAAUAGUGAAGUAUUUUAGUAUGGUUACUUGUACAUUACUGUGCUGCGUCAGGUGCAUAUCCCUUAAAUUAUGAAACUAGUUAUUGGGCCUUUGCCCUUCUUUUAAUUAGUUUAUCAGUAUGACAUAAACAAGUAUGAUGAUCAAUUAACAUGCCAACCAAAAAUUAGGUAUGAACACAUGGCAUGUUGGUGGAUUCUUAUAUCUCAGUCAAUUGUCAUGGGGCUAAAAAUUAAUUGCUAAAAAAUCUAUUUACUACAACCUUUGUUAUUUUAACAAUUAAUUUAUAUCAUGUGUGCCGUUUUGAUUGCAAAGUCAAGCUAUGUGAGCAUGCCAUUUUCCAAAUUCAUGUGAAGUUACAAAGUAGUGCUAAGUUUAUUUAUUAUAAACCUCAAAUCUUAGGCUAUUCUAGGAAUUAACCCAUGUGUCAUUGAUUUCGUGCAUUGCAUUCUGACCGUAAAAAAACUGAGCCAUGAGGACAUGCCAUGUGUCACUUGUCUUGUGGGCUACAAAUUAUUUUCUAAAACAGUAUUUUCUAAAACAGUUUACUCAUUAAAAACGUCAAGCCUUCCCUAUUUACUUCGUAGGAAUGCAAUUGGAGAGGGAGGAGGCACAAAAGGGAAGGGAACGUGGAACAAUAGGAUGAGGGACGCUGGACGGGGUGAGAAGGCUGUUUACUUGACAGGAAGGACAAGUGGAGCCUUAAUUUUCCACUGGUCAGCCUCUUCUAAACUGCUUGCUGAAUAGUCGUUCCUGGCAAACCUGCACACAAUGCUCGUAUGACGCAAGAAAAAGACACUGCAUGAUCACGAGUGUAUCAACCGGACUUGGCCACUGUUAAACAGGUCUCCAUUUGACUGUGCCGUUAAAGUCAAGUUUCAAAUGAAAACUUUUCUAGAUAAUUGUUCAGGCUCCAUCACUGUAAGAAAGGGAUGGGACUAAAGGCACACUGUGAGCAGUCCUUUCUGUAGUGGUGCAUGCUGGAAUGGCUGGGGUGGGAGGUCCACUUGCACUUGGCCACGGAAACAUGGUGACAUCAGAUUGAUGUGAGCUUGGGGGGUGUGGGAUUUUGAACGCUACUUUGUGGUGCCCUUCGCUCCUAGCACUUCACAUGCCCCUGUCUGCCGAGAAGAAGACUUCGACUACCGAGUGCAUGCAAUUUCCACAUGAUUUGCAAGAUGUUUCCGUUGCAUGCGAACCAUGUAGACCCCUUAGCUUGUUUUAACCUUCAAAUUCCUUUUUGACCACGACUUCAAGUUUCAUUAUAUUUAUUGUUAUAAAUUUGUGAUGUGCUCCCCACACGAAGUAUUCUCCGAUUGUCUUGAAGCUAUGGGAAGGCAAUGUAAUUUAUUUAUUCAAUUUAAUGUAAUUUCACAGUUCAA